UUUUCAGGUCUGGUAAUUGGAAUGAGUACAAUUUAAAUCCAUUUCAGCGAGGAUCCAUUGGAGGGCAAGUCUGGUGCCAGCAGCCGCGGUAAUUCCAGCUCCAAUAGCGUAUAUUAAAAUUGCUGCAGUUAAAAAGCUCGUGGUUGGAUUUCUGGUGUGGUGCACCGAGCCCGCUUCUUCAUUUUUGGGGAGGAGAGUGCUUGUUUCGUGCGCCUACCAUCCCUUCCAGACGUGGGUGUUGCGGAUCGUGUCNUUUUGGUCGGGNAUUGGCGGAUUCNUUCGCUUGUUUCCGAUUGGGGCGGCUCGGGUCGCAGCAUCAAUUUAAGCGUCUGGAUCGUUUACUUUGAAAAAAUUAGAGUGUUUAAAGGAGGCGUUGUUUGCUCUGAAUACAUUAGCAUGGAAUAAUAAGAUAGGACUUUGGUUCNAUUUUGUUGGUUUCUAGGACUGAAGUAAUGAUUGAUAGGAACAGUUGGGGGUGCUAGUAUUUAACGGCCAGAGGUGAAAUUCUUGGAUUCGUUAAAGACUAACAAAAGCGAAAGCAUUCACCAAGGAUGUCUCCUUUAAUCANGAACGAAAGUUGGGGGAUCGAAGACGAUCAGAUACCGUCGUANUCUCCACCAUAAACUAUACCGACUAGGGAUGAGUGGACGUUG
rnacentral:rRNA from 1 species